rnacentral:rRNA from 1 species
GACGAACGCUGGCGGCGUGCUUAACACAUGCAAGUCGAACGGUGAAGCUCCAGCUUGCUGGAGUGGAUCAGUGGCGAACGGGUGAGUAACACGUGAGCAACCUGCCCCUGACUCUGGAAUAAGCGCUGGAAACGGCGUCUAAUACUGGAUACGAGAAGGGUCCGCAUGGGCACUUUCUGGAAAGUUUUUCGGUUGGGGAUGGGCUCGCGGCCUAUCAGCUUGUUGGUGAGGUAAUGGCUCACCAAGGCAACGACGGGUAGCCGGCCUGAGAGGGCGACCAGGCACACUGGGACUGAGACACGGCCCAGACUCCUACGGGAGGCAGCAGUGGGGAAUAUUGCACAAUGGGCGAAAGCCUGAUGCAGCGACGCCGCGUGAGGGAUGACGGCCUUCGGGUUGUAAACCUCUUUCAGCAGGGAAGAAGCGAAAGUGACGGUACCUGCAGAAGAAGCACCGGCUAACUACGUG